GUGCCAGCAGCCGCGGUAAUACGUAGGGAGCAAGCGUUGUUCGGAUUUACUGGGCGUAAAGGGCGCGUAGGCGGCGUGUCAAGUCGAUUGUGAAAUCUCCGGGCUUAACUCGGAACGGCCAAUCGAUACUGACGUGCUAGAGUGCAGAAAGGGCAAUCGGAAUUCUUGGUGUAGCGGUGAAAUGCGUAGAUAUCAAGAGGAACACCUGAGGCGAAGGCGGGUUGCUAGGCUGACACUGACGCUGAGUGCGCGAAAGCCAGGGGAGCAAACGGGAUUAGAUACCCUGGUAGUCC
rnacentral:rRNA from 1 species